GACGAACGCUGGCGGCGUGCUUAACACAUGCAAGUCGAACGAAGUGGCGAACGGGUGAGUAACGCGUAAUAAACCUGCCCUUCAGAGGGGGACAACAGUUGGAAACGAAUGCUAAUACCGCAUACUGAAGGAGGGGAUGGCGUCUGAUUAGCUGGGUGGGGGGGUAACGGCCCACCAAGGCGAUGAUCAGUAGCCGGUCUGAGAGGAUGAACGGGCACAUUGGGAACGGGACACGGCCCAGAAUCCUACCGGAGGCAGCAGUGGGGAAUCUUCCGAAAUUGACGAAAGUCUGACGGAGCAACGCCGCGUGAGUUAUGACGGCCUUCGGGGUGGAAAGCUCUGUUAAUCGGGACGCGGUACCGGAAUAGAAAGCCACGGCUAACUACGUGCCAGCAGCCGCGGUAAUAC
rnacentral:rRNA from 1 species